rnacentral:rRNA from 1 species
GACGAACGCUGGCGGCGUGCUUAACACAUGCAAGUCGAACGGAAAGGCCCUGCUUUUGUGGGGUGCUCGAGUGGCGAACGGGUGAGUAACACGUGAGUAACCUGCCCUUGACUUUGGGAUAACUUCAGGAAACUGGGGCUAAUACCGGAUAGGAGCUCCUGCUGCAUGGUGGGGGUUGGAAAGUUUGGGCGGUUGGGGAUGGACGCGCGGCUUAUCAGCUUGUGGGUGGGGGAGUGGCUUACCAAGGCUUUGAAGGGUAGCCGGCCUGAGAGGGUGACCGGCCACAUUGGGACUGAGAUACGGCCCAGACUCCUACGGGAGGCAGCAGUGGGGAAUAUUGCACAAUGGGCGGAAGCCUGAUGCAGCAACGCCGCGUGCGGGAUGACGGCCUUCGGGUUGUAAACCGCUUUCGCCUGUGACGAAGCGUGAGUGACGGUAAUGGGUAAAGAAGCACCGGCUAACUACGUG